GCCCGAUUAGUCCAAUUGGCAGAGACAACAGACUCAAAAUCUGUAAAGUAUCAGUUCGAAUCUGAUAUCGGGUA
rnacentral:tRNA from 1 species